rnacentral:misc_RNA from 1 species
GGAUAUUCCAGAAUCUCUCUUUUUCAUGGAAAUGUAUUGCAUCCUUCUGAAGCAAGGCUUGUCAAUCCUGAGCCUGGGGUGGACCUGAUUGAAAAUUUAACACUGGAAGAUAGCAAUGAUAAUCUCGAAGCCAGUGCAUCAAAAUCCAUUGUGAAAGAAGAAUCUACCUCUUAUAACGAUAACAAGUAUCUGAAGAGGAACAUUACAUUGGC